rnacentral:lncRNA from 1 species
UGAAUUCGCUGAGCGGCGAGAGUGGAGUGGGUGCCUGGGUGGGGGUCAGGGGCGGUAGCCAGGCAGAAGCUGGAGGGAGAAGAUGGAUUAGGAGGCGCCUCUCUUCCCUCCCCGCGUCAAAGAUUAUGAAUGGAGAGCUACAUCCCAUGGGGUGGCAGAUGAAGAUGUGCAAGAAGAAGACACUAACAACUGAAUUGCAGAUUGAGGAGAUGAGAUUAUGGUGACAGAAUCCAUCUUCGGUGUAUGUGCAUGAAGAAAUAAGCCAAAUCUACAUCUAUAAAACCGCGGGAAGGAAUGAGAUAAUAAUCAGUUGCAGGUCUGCUUAGAUUUUAAUCGUUUAGUGUAGUUCGUGGCAGGGUCUGAUACCCUAUUUCAAUAGUGGAGAGAAUUAGAAAGCAUUUUCUUUUUUCAUAUCUACUAUUAUUGGUUAUAUAAAAGAAGUAUCAAAUAGUUUCUGCUUUCAUGGAAUAUACUGUCCAGUCGCAAAGGAAAGAAGAUGGAGAGAUGAUUAAAAAAAAAAAAAAGAACAAACAGCUUCCAUUAUUCUAGCAAUGCCCACACACCCCUAUUGUUUGAGCAG